GCCUGGCUGGCUCAGUUGGUGGGGCACGUGACUCUUGAUCUCGUGGUCGCGAGUUUAAGCCCCACGUUGGGUG
rnacentral:tRNA from 1 species